UACGGGGGGGGCAAGCGUUGUUCGGAAUUACUGGGCGUAAAGGGCUCGUAGGUGGCCAACUAAGUCAGACGUGAAAUCCCUCGGCUUAACCGGGGAACUGCGUCUGAUACUGGAUGGCUUGAGUUCGGGAGAGGGAUGCGGAAUUCCAGGUGUAGCGGUGAAAUGCGUAGAUAUCUGGAGGAACAUCAGUGGCGAAGGCGACUCUUUGGCCUGUAACUGACGCUGAGGCGCGAAAGCGUGGGGAGCAAACAGG
rnacentral:rRNA from 1 species